GUCAGGUUUCUACCAACCAUCUUUCUGACUACCAUUGUCCCCUUCUUCCCUUAUGUUUUGAUCAUCUUUCAACUUUCCUAUUCUUUUGUUUUAAAUUCUUUAAUCUUGGACAGUUUUAUUGUAUUUUCCACAUCAAAUUUUCAAAUAAAAUCAGCAACAUUGAACGAAGAAGAAGCUUUUGAUAUUGACUAAUCAGGAAACCCUAAACACAUGAUUUGAG
rnacentral:misc_RNA from 1 species